rnacentral:rRNA from 1 species
AGGACGAACGCUGGCGGCGUGCUUAACACAUGCAAGUGGAGCGACGAACCAGGGCUUGCCCUGGGGCAGAGCCGCGAACGGGUGAGUAACACGUGGGUUACCUGCCUCGAUGACCGGGACAACCCGAGGAAACUCGGGCUAAUACCGGAUGUGCCCGCAAGGGGAAAGGAAGCUUCGGCCUCCGCAUUGAGAUGGGCCCGCGGCCCAUUAGCUUGUUGGUGAGGUAACGGCUCACCAAGGCUUCGAUGGGUAGCUGGUCUGAGAGGACGAUCAGCCACACUGGGACUGAGACACGGCCCAGACUCCUACGGGAGGCAGCAGUGGGGAAUCUUGCGCAAUGCGCGAAAGCGUGACGCAGCAACGCCGCGUGGGGGAAGAAGGCUUUCGGGUUGUAAACCCCUUUCAGUUGGGACGAAGCUUCUCCGGUGAAUAGCCGGAUGGAGUGACGGUACCUUCACAAGAAGCACCGGCUAACUACGUGCCAGCAGCCGCGGU